UGGGCAGGUAUCGGACGUGCCGAAGAUAAUGUCGCUAGUCUUUUCAGUGACAUCCUUGGAUCCAUGCUCGAUAUUUCUAGGUCUUCGGCUUGGGAACAUGCAGAUAGGUAACAGACGACGAAGGUAGAGAAGACAUGCGAUCGAGCUAAGGCUAAGUGCACCACUUAUGCAAGACAAUAUAGGAUGGAGAGCAUCACCUGCGACCCUGCAUGUUGGUGACCUGGCACGUGUUAGACUUGGAACUUGGGAGGCGGCGUAUGGUCUUCUUGAGGUGAGAGUGAGAAGAUAUGAGUGGGAACAUGGAUGGCAGUAGAGAAGUCACACAGAGGAAAAGUCCUAAUGUUUUUAUCUUAAAAAUGUAAGUAUGCCUCUCACAUGGGUGUGGUGAUCAGUCAUCAAUGGCAUUUGCCUUGCUCAAGUUAGAUGGGAGAUAAUGUGAGAGAAACAUAGAAGAAUCUGAACUGUGUGUACGUAUGCUUGGUCGUGUGGUUCACAAACUGGCUCACAAGCUAGCUCAUUAACGUAACGAGCUCAAAUGCUAGUGUAAGCUGGCUUGUUAUGUUAACGAGCCAAGUCGAGUCGAGCUAAUUUGACCACGAGUCGAGCAAGCUAGUGAACCAUGAGUUUUUUUGCCAUCCCUACUUGCCACAUGUUUACAUAAUUCAGCUUCUCGUUCUUCUUAAAAAUUUAACUUGCUGUGAAGCCCUCAUUCACCAACAUAUGCUGGAGGUUGUUUCCAGAACAUUUGUAAUGAAAGUAAUUAUUUAAACAAAUACUUUGAUCCUUAAGAAAAUACUUUGGAUAAAUUUGUGUAUGUGUUUGGCUCAUGAGGCCCAUUAAACCACUUACACCAAAUGUAUGUGCAUAUACAUCAUGUUGCUGGAAUAAAAUUCAGUGACUGAGACUAAAAAUGUUCAGAGUCGAAGGUUCGGAUUUCAAGAUUUGGUUGGCAUAAUUUUGAGGAAAAGAAUUCCAUCUUGCCUCGAUCCCACAACUAGGCAUAUAUGGAGCCUAGACAUGAGUGAUGUCAGGGCCUAAGGAGGCCCACGGAGGGGCUGCGACAGUAGCAGCCAUGGGCCCUCUAAGGGGGAUUAGAUAAGGAUAGUUAGAGAUAAGAUUAGAAGAUUAGUUGAGAUUAUCUAGGAAGGUUAUCAGUUAGUUUGUUGAGAGUUUUUAGAAGAGUUUUAAGGAGAUAAUGAUCUUUAGCUAGACAGGGGCGGCCAACCGACCUAUUUAUGUAAUAAAU
rnacentral:lncRNA from 1 species